GCGGUGUGCGUUUACCGUGAUUUCGUUACAGAGAGGGAGGGAAUUCAAUAAGGAUGAUGAAGGAGGUAUGUUUGAGUCUAUAGACGAACAAUUGCUCCUUCCAGCUUGGCAAGAAAUGUAACACCUAGUGCUGUUAGAGAUCGCUUCAGCUUCUCAGAACAAUGAGACGUAGCACCGCUCCACAGAUUCCAUUUCAUGUUAUUUCUCUGUCCUGUAUGGCAGCCAGUAGGAUAAUGAUACCGUGAAGGCGGCCAUUUUGGGAGCCAGCGGGAGUUUUGCUAUCACACACCUGGUUAACUCGCAAAACAGCUACUUUGCUGUUACUGGCAUCAGCUAAGUGGCUAAGUGUAUUUAUUUGAAUAUUACUGCAGUGCUUUUAGGAGCUUAAACUAUGAACAGGCUGACAGAAUGCGGUAUCCCAGGAUGCACCUGGCCGUGUGUCGAGCCACACAGCUGCUUGACAGAAGGAGUUACUCUUAGGGAGGAAGCUCACCUGAUGCCAACAGGACCUGAAACGGAGACUUGGGCCCAGAGCCGGCUGUACAGCUGGGCUUUCUGAACCUCUCUCUCAGAGGGAAGAACCUGUGUUCUUCUGCUUAGCCACUUUCGGAUUUUUAAACAGAAUUUGGUGCCUGUGAGCUUUAGUCAGGCAUUCGUUCAAGGUACCCGAUGAGGACCUCGAACCACUGAUUUCUGGGUUGUAAGUCUAUGGCAUUAACCACUCAGCCUCCACUGAUAAUCUCAUUGCUCCUGUUUUUCGGGAGCUUGAUCGCCAUGUCAGACACAUAGAAAAGCAUUAAGUAUGUUAAUAAGUACAUUUUAUUAAGUAAAUUAAUAAACGUGUUAUAUAGUGAUUAUUAAUAAAAACAAGCCUCCAAGUUGACAAA